rnacentral:rRNA from 1 species
UACAGAGGGGGCAAGCGUUGUUCGGAAUUACUGGGCGUAAAGGGCGCGUAGGCGGCCUGCUAAGUCGGACGUGAAAUCCCUGGGCUCAACCCAGGAACUGCGUCCGAUACUGGUUGGCUUGAAUCCGGGAGAGGGAUGUGGAAUUCCAGGUGUAGCGGUGAAAUGCGUAGAUAUCUGGAGGAACACCGGUGGCGAAGGCGGCAUCCUGGACCGGUAUUGACGCUGAGGCGCGAAAGCCAGGGGAGCAAACGGG